UUUGUUUAAAUAGUUCUAGAAAUCUGAGCUGUUGAUGUGUCCUUGGAUUGUGUGGUAAUAAUAUUAGAGCUAGCGAUCUUUUCUUAUAGAAUCUCUACUAUGAGUCAUGUUACCUGGGAUUACUGCUAUGUUUACCUGAAGGCCUGGAAAAAUGUGCUGUGUGAAGGAUGUAAAUCAAAUCAGAUCUUAACUUAACUUACAGUUAAGCAACAUAUUCAUAUUUAAUUGAAAUAUGAGCCAAUGAUUUUCUGAUUGCUGAUUCCAAGAGAGUCUUUGUGGAAAUCCUGUUUGGCUUUUUGUUAUUUUAAUUCUCUUUUCAGUUUGCCAGAACAGUUCUCCACAGUCACUGUCCACAUGGGUCAGUGGGACCAAGCAGCACUCUGCUAAUGUGUGGACUCUGACCAGCAACAUCCAGCAAGACCCAGACAGCGUUUUCUAUCUCCCAGCUGGAGUUUUUUUGUUUGUCUGUGACUGGAGAGUCAGAUUUUGUUGAGGCUGGAGGAACAGCCUCACACUUGCAGAGUGACUGCUGCUUAUACCACAGGUUAAUACACGCUACUGAUCCCUGAUGGGAGAAUCAUCACCUCUGCCAGCAAAGAAGCCUGGUGGAUGUUUGUUUACAGUCUGAUGAUGGGACAUCAUGCUCUGCAUCUUCAAAGUUUGUCUCUUGAUUAUUCUUCAUACACAGUAAUGUGAAGCAUGCUUAUAUCUAGUAUAACUGGACCAACCUGGUGCUCUUCAUUUAUGGAGGCUGCAGAGUCUGAAUGUUGGAUGUUGUGUAUCUCGUGUUCUCUGGGCUUUGUUGUCCUCAGUCUUUUUGCAGGAUCAGAAAACAAAACCAGGAGGCCUGUAAAUGUUUCUUUUCCAGUUGGAUGAUGAUAAGACUGUGACACGGGAUGCCACCUUUAGUCUUGUGAUGAAGCAAAGCUCAGGAAGAAGUGUGAUUAAAUGGUACCCACAUGUGUGCUGCUGAGAAGGAUGUACAGGGGCACCUGCAGCCAAAUCCAAGCCUCCUCAGGAGUGUUUCUGAGUGAGGGAGAGAGGAGUCAUCAUCCAGGUAAAGUGACGUGAAUCAGUGGGUAAACUUGUCUCUGCUUUCAAAGGAGAUACUCUUAGAGAGAGACCAUCCGAGUCAUCCUUAAGUGUUAGUGCUUUCAAAUACACAAACAUUUUGACUGUAAUACAAUUAAAUCUUUGCACGUGUGUUUUCAAACUCUCAGAUGGGCAGGAUAUCACUAUUAGAUUGUCUAACCUGCCAGGGCAGCACUGAAUAACCACCACACAUGAGCAUGUUCCUGCAACAUUCAGCAGCUUUGCUUUUGUGUCAAAUGUCAAACAGCUGGAGAGGAAACUACACCAGUGUACUGGGAUGUUUCACCAACACGUGCCAGAUCCUGUUCCUUCAUGGUUUCAUCACCAGAGACAGCCUUUACCAGCCACACUCUAACUGCAAUUAAGAAAACAAACCGUAAAAAUUGUCGUUUUUCUCUUUUGUAAUUAAUGAUAAUUCAGUGAAGAUACUCUGCUGCUUCCUUUUAUUUCGUCACACAUUGCUUUAAGUUUUUCAGUGUCCAGUUAUUUUUUACUGCUGUUUGAGUUCUCUGUAUGUAUGACCCUGUAGACUGUUUAAUGGACUGCUUUUCUGGUUCCUGUUUGUAACCGCCGCCUGUUUCUUACUAAAGAUUUGGAUUUCUGACUUUAA